rnacentral:tRNA from 1 species
GGCUUAGCUCAGCUGGUAGAGCAGCGGUUUUGUAAACCGAAGGUCACGGGUUCGAGUCCUGUAGCCGG